AAGGUUGGGUUAACUCCCGCAAAGAGCCCAACACUCGCCAGUAGUUGCCAUCAUUUAGGUGGGAAAUAUAAUGGGACUACCGGGGGUAAACGGGAGGAAGGUGGGGAUGACGUCAAGUGGUCAACACCCUUACAGGUUGGGAGCCGACGGUGGAUACAAUGGUGAGAACAGAGGGUUUAUCCUUAAAACUCAUUUCGGAUCGGAUUGUCCUCUGAAAUGUGAGCUUAUGAAGUUGGAUUUUUUAGUAAUAGCGCCGAUUAGCAUGCCGCGGUGAAUAAGUUACAGGACCGUGUAGACACCACCCGUCACAGCAUUGAAGUGAGUUCUUACCAGAGGGCGAAUGGGUAACGCCCAUGACGCCGC
rnacentral:rRNA from 1 species